CGUGAGAUGUUGGGUUAAGUCCCGCAACGAGCGCAACCCUUAUUGUCAGUUGCCAUCAUUAAGUUGGGCACUCUGGCGAGACUGCCGGUGACAAACCGGAGGAAGGUGGGGAUGACGUCAAAUCAUCAUGCCCCUUAUGACCUGGGCUACACACGUGCUACAAUGGACGGUACAACGAGUCGCUAACUCGCGAGGGCAAGCUAAUCUCUUAAAGCCGUUCUCAGUUCGGAUUCAGGCUGCACUCGCCUGCAUGAAGUCGA
rnacentral:rRNA from 1 species